AAUAGAAUAGAAUAGAAUAGAAUAGAUAAAAUAAAAUAAAACAGAAACACUUGAGCUUCACCUGGCUUUGCCCCUUGUCCUCAAAUGGAGCCUACCAUCCUCACCUGCCAACCUGGUUUGAUGCUCCCAGGCACUAAUGUGCCUCUGGUUCCCUGCACCCACUAGAUUCUUGGAACAAGACGGUAAAGCUGAAUGGAACAGCCUGACUGCUGCUGGCCGUUGCUGAAAGGUCUCGACAUGGAAGAAUUCAUCAUGGUGCUUGCCACAGGGCAACUGCUCAGCCAGCCAUGACUCUGCUGACAGUGACUCCUUCUGUUUCCACUAAGGGGGCUGCCACGUCCUCCUGGGCAGGGUGUGAGGGGCCCUCCCUGGACUUCCUUUGCCUCCGUCAUGGCCUCCCACUGCCUCUGCUCCCAUCGCCAGGCCAGGUGUCAGGCAUCAGCCCUCUGCCUGGCCAGGAGUCCCCAGGGAAUGGGGGGCAUUCCUCACCCCACACAUCCUGGGAGCUGCAGAGCCUGCAAUUUCACUAAUGAUGUGGAGAAGAGAAGAAAAGACUAGCCCAAGAGGGAGCUAUUUUAGCCGAAAAACCUCCCCAUGGAUUUGGGCCGGUUUUUCAGCACUAAUGAGCUGGGGCCAAGGGAGUUUCCAGGGAGGGAGGCAGCUAUGUCUGGUCCAGGUUCUGGUUCUAGAGGGGCUGGAGGUCUGGCCAGGGAGAGAGGAGUGGGGGGCCGGGGAGGGUGCAAUGGGGGGCUCUGUGCCUCGAGCUGAGGAGUGCUCACUGGCUCACCCCACAGAUGCACUGCUUACUCUGUGUUAUCCCCGCUCUCCUCACAUAGGAAAGAUCCUCAAUGGCCAAGAUGAUCUUGCCAAGCUUUGUUAUCUCUAUAACCCCUACUGUGAGAACACUGUGUAUCUGUUUUAUUUUCCCCUGAUAUAAAGUCAUGACAUGAUAUUGCAA